CGCUUCUUUUUCCACCGGAGCUUGCUCCACCGGAAAAAGAAGAGUGGCGAACGGGUGAGUAACACGUGGGUAACCUGCCCAUCAGAAGGGGAUAACACUUGGAAACAGGUGCUAAUACCGUAUAACAAUCGAAACCGCAUGGUUUUGAUUUGAAAGGCGCUUUCGGGUGUCGCUGAUGGAUGGACCCGCGGUGCAUUAGCUAGUUGGUGAGGUAACGGCUCACCAAGGCCACGAUGCAUAGCCGACCUGAGAGGGUGAUCGGCCACAUUGGGACUGAGACACGGCCCAAACUCCUACGGGAGGCAGCAGUAGGGAAUCUUCGGCAAUGGACGAAAGUCUGACCGAGCAACGCCGCGUGAGUGAAGAAGGUUUUCGGAUCGUAAAACUCUGUUGUUAGAGAAGAACAAGGAUGAGAGUAACUGUUCAUCCCUUGACGGUAUCUAACCAGAAAGCCACGGCUAACUACGUGCCAGCAGCCGCGGUAAUACGUAGGUGGCAAGCGUUGUCCGGAUUUAUUGGGCGUAAAGCGAGCGCAGGCGGUUUCUUAAGUCUGAUGUGAAAGCCCCCGGCUCAACCGGGGAGGGUCAUUGGAAACUGGGAGACUUGAGUGCAGAAGAGGAGAGUGGAAUUCCAUGUGUAGCGGUGAAAUGCGUAGAUAUAUGGAGGAACACCAGUGGCGAAGGCGGCUCUCUGGUCUGUAACUGACGCUGAGGCUCGAAAGCGUGGGGAGCAAACAGGAUUAGAUACCCUGGUAGUCCACGCCGUAAACGAUGAGUGCUAAGUGUUGGAGGGUUUCCGCCCUUCAGUGCUGCAGCUAACGCAUUAAGCACUCCGCCUGGGGAGUACGACCGCAAGGUUGAAACUCAAAGGAAUUGACGGGGGCCCGCACAAGCGGUGGAGCAUGUGGUUUAAUUCGAAGCAACGCGAAGAACCUUACCAGGUCUUGACAUCCUUUGACCACUCUAGAGAUAGAGCUUCCCCUUCGGGGGCAAAGUGACAGGUGGUGCAUGGUUGUCGUCAGCUCGUGUCGUGAGAUGUUGGGUUAAGUCCCGCAACGAGCGCAACCCUUAUUGUUAGUUGCCAUCAUUCAGUUGGGCACUCUAGCAAGACUGCCGGUGACAAACCGGAGGAAGG
rnacentral:rRNA from 1 species